rnacentral:rRNA from 1 species
CCUACGGGAGGCAGCAGUGGGGAAUUUUGGACAAUGGGCGAAAGCCUGAUCCAGCAAUGCCGCGUGCAGGAUGAAGGCCUUCGGGUUGUAAACUGCUUUUGUGCGGAACGAAAAAGCUUCUCCUAAUACGAGAGGCCCAUGACGGUACCGUAAGAAUAAGCACCGGCUAACUACGUGCCAGCAGCCGCGGUAAU